rnacentral:rRNA from 1 species
UACGUAGGCAGCGAGCGUUGUUCGGAAUUACUGGGCGUAAAGAGUGUGUAGGCGGUGUUCCUAGUCUGUUGUGAAAUCUCCCGGCUUAACUGGGAGGGUGCAGCGGAAACUAGAAUGCUAGAGGGUGGGAGAGGUAAGCGGAAUUCCUGGUGUAGCGGUGAAAUGCGUAGAUAUCAGGAGGAACACCUGUGGUGUAGACAGCUUACUGGACCACUUCUGACGCUGAGACACGAAAGCGUGGGUAGCAAACAGG